CAGUCGCCGCGGGAAUACGAAGGGUGCAAGCGUUACUCGGAAUUACUGGGCGUAAAGCGUGCGUAGGUGGUGGUUUAAGUCCGUUGUGAAAGCCCUGGGCUCAACCUGGGAAUUGCAGUGGAUACUGGAUCACUAGAGUGUGGUAGAGGAUAGUGGAAUUUCCGGUGUAGCAGUGAAAUGCGUAGAGAUCGGAAGGAACAUCUGUGGCGAAGGCGACUAUCUGGGCCAACACUGACACUGAGGCACGAAAGCGUGGGGAGCAAACAGGAUUAGAGACCCCGUAGUCCUGUCUCUUAUACAC
rnacentral:rRNA from 1 species